rnacentral:rRNA from 1 species
AGCGAACGCUGGCGGCAGGCUUAACACAUGCAAGUCGAACGGGCUUCUUCGGAAGUCAGUGGCAGACGGGUGAGUAACACGUGGGAACGUGCCCUUCGGUUCGGAAUAACUCAGGGAAACUUGAGCUAAUACCGGAUACGCCCUUUUGGGGAAAGGUUUACUGCCGAAGGAUCGGCCCGCGUCUGAUUAGCUUGUUGGUGGGGUAACGGCCUACCAAGGCGACGAUCAGUAGCUGGUCUGAGAGGAUGAUCAGCCACACUGGGACUGAGACACGGCCCAGACUCCUACGGGAGGCAGCAGUGGGGAAUAUUGGACAAUGGGCGCAAGCCUGAUCCAGCCAUGCCGCGUGAGUGAUGAAGGCCUUAGGGUUGUAAAGCUCUUU